rnacentral:rRNA from 1 species
GACGGAGGGUGCUAGCGUUGUUCGGAAUCACUGGGCGUAAAGGGCGCGUAGGCGGCCGAGGCAGUUGGAUGUGAAAGCCCGGGGCUCAACCCCGGAGGUGCAUCCGAUACUCCUUGGCUGGAGGCCGGAAGAGGAGGGUGGAAUACCCAGUGUAGAGGUGAAAUUCGUAGAUAUUGGGUGGAACACCGGUGGCGAAAGCGGCUCUCUGGUCCGGUUCUGACGCUGAGGCGCGAAAGCGUGGGGAGCAAACAGG